UGGGGAAUCUUGCGCAAUGGGGGAAACCCUGACGCAGCAACGCCGCGUGCGGGACGAAGGCUCUCGGGUCGUAAACCGCUUUCAGGAGGGAAGAAAGUGACGGUACCUCCAGAAGAAGCCCCGGCCAACUACGUGCCAGCAGCCGCGGUAACACGUAGGGGGCGAGCGUUGUCCGGAUUUAUUGGGCGUAAAGAGCUCGUAGGCGGCUUGGUAAGUCGGGUGUGAAACCUCCAGGCUCAACCUGGAGACG
rnacentral:rRNA from 1 species